AAAAAAAAUAACGGAUAAGGUUAUUAGAAAACUAUUGAUUAGAUAUUAAUAUAAGACACUUAUACAAAAAGCAUAAUAAAUUAUUUCAUUAAUAGGAUCAAAAAUUAUUACAAAUAAAUGUUUUCAAAGAUUGUUUGUAAAAUUACUGUGCAAAAUUCAAUGUGCAAAUUACAGUGCAAAAACACGUAACGACUUGUUCCAAUGACGAUUAGGAUAGCACUACCACGGCACUAAGCUGUUCGCCUUUGAGCAUUAGUGGUCUUUACACACACAUAAUUAUAAAUGUGUCAAAAUGAUUUCUUAUCUUGCGAAAAUCUAAAAGAAUAUUUUGACCAUCAUGAGUCAUCGAUUUUGUAUAAUGAAUACUCUUAUGACCAAAAGCCUAAUGAGUAUAAGCAUAACCCAACUUUAAAGGAAAGUUUUUCUGCAUGUUUUUCUAACCAAGUAAUGUUGCACUAAACAAGUGAAUUGACAAAGAAUAGCAACAAAUUUAUUGUCCCAAAAAAAACUAUAAUCAUGCACUGAAAAACAACCUUUCGUCAACAAAAGAAUGGCACAAAUUUCCAUUGAUAAAAUAGUUGUUAUCAGAUUCAGAGAUUGAAGAUGUUUUUUCUUCACAUUUUAUUGAUGAACACAAUAAAACCAAGCAAAGUUCACAUUGUCAAAGAGUUUCAAGUUUUAAUAGAUGCAAAAUGUUAUUCUCAAGGAGCUUGCAGAAAUAAGAGUUCUUUUAAAAGAAGUUAUAGAAAUUAAGUUUCAGGCUACUGGGGUGAAGUUGCUAGAAUCAGUGGACGAAGUGGUUACACUGGAUAAUAAACUAAAAGAUAAAACCGAGUAUACUAAUUAGAUAUCGGCGACGUGGAAGAAGAUGUUGACGGCAAUGCAGAAAUAGAGUUUCUUAUGUAUAUUUUUGUGAAAUAAAAUUAAGUAAUUUUAGUUAAAA
rnacentral:lncRNA from 1 species